UUCAAUUUCUGCAACUCUAACAUAUAAAAGAUUACAUUUCUUGUCACCAUUUCUAUAUGAUCUUCCUUUGUCUGCUGGGUUUUGAGAAGGGAAAAAUUCAACCAGACUUUCUCCUGCCCAGGCUGUCCCCACGGAUUGGUCCUGAGUCACAUCUAUUCCCACCUGUCACACUUGUCCAGCCAUGAAGCCUGGCCUGGCUGCGAGGUGGACAGGGUGCCAGGCAUCUGCUCAGGGCCUCCUUGGAUCUGAAUGUCUGCUGUGCUGUUCUCUCUUCUACUCAUGACAGCAUGAGGAAUCCUAGCUCAGGAGCAGUAAGGGGUGACCCCAAUUGGUUACAGUUUCUUUCAGAUCUGUCAUUCACAGCAUAAACUCUGUGUCCUCACUCUUGCAGGACUCGGCAGCGGAAAGCCCAGGUCUUGUAACAAAAACCUUGGAAGCUUUUGUGACUUUAAAUGCUGGGAGCUGGCUCUAUAUGUCGUCUCUAUUUUGCUGAGGUCCCUCAUUCAGGAGGCAAUGGGUCAUCUGGCUCAGUUCAGCUGCUCCAUGGAGGUACCAAAAAAUCCCCUUAAGAUCCCUCAAAUGCCCACUUAUCUGCCAUUUCUCGGUCAUUCAGCCUGGGCAGCGGUCCUACAUGAGAGCAACUUUCUUUGCUUCCUUAAGAGAAUACUUGGCCACCCUAUGUCUUGGGAUGCUUUAAUUCUUAAUUCAGUGAUACCUUAGUUUUAGUAAACUUUUUAAGCAGAAUAGCUCAUGUAUGUGUUCUACAGAAGCCUAGAAUCUCCAUGGACCUUGUUCAGCGCUGCCUUCCUGCAGCCAAGAUGCACCCAGAACCCUUGGAGAAAGCGUCACAGAGGCAGGCCCACCGCAGGAGAGUUUGAUCUACAUCUUUUCCUGCUUCAGGUCCCAGAUGUUGAGUGUCAAACCACAAAAUAUAAAACAGAAUUUGUUUCAUGCACUAACUGAUCAAUGCUGAGGACGGGUUGCUGUUGUGUUAAGAAGGAUUCUGAGAGUGCUCAGCGGGGAAGACUGGCCGAUAAUAUUUCACAUGAGCCUGAGAAUGGAGACAAGGGCAACACUCUCAUACAGUUGUUGUAGCACUUGGUCAAAUUCAUUCUCUCUGCAACACAUAAGAAGUCCCCCUUGUCCCCUGCAACCAGAUUAAAAGCCUGAUCCUCCAUUUUGUCGAAGUCUCAGAUCACAAGGUCACUAUGCCAUCAGGACCCCAAAUCAGCCACAUAUGUACAGCAUCUACAGGAAACGGGCUGCUGGCUCUUCAGGUUCUGAACCGACAGGGGGCAGCAGAGAGCAAGGAAGCACUCUACUCCAGGAACCCUUCCUCUCCUGUCUCUCUGGAAGUGAAUCCUGUGGACUGUCGGAGACUGUUGUCUACACAUCGAUGUGGUCAAAGGGGGCAGCAGGAAGGGCUAGAGGGAGGGAAACUUUAUUUGGGUUCACAUGGAGACAAGCUUUGCUGGGCGCCUCACUGCUUCAGGACGGAAGAGGAAGAAGUCACAAUGGUAAGAGCAGUCGCUGCCACUGUGCGGCCCCCAGAAGGAGCCCUGUCCUCUGGGGAUGCUCCUUCUUUCCAUUCUCUCUGAAAUUUCUGGAGGUGGGUGAAUCUCCAGUGUACAGAUGUGCAAAAGGAUCCCGGAGUGGUUAAAUGUCUUGCCUGAGAAUCACUUACUCUCUUAAGCACAGGCUGAGCUACACUUUGGACGCCUGUCUGCCCAGGACUUCAUGAUGUGAUACCAUUCGAGGAAGGAGGCCAGAAGGGGCGUCUGGCUUUUGGACGGCCUGGGGGAGGUCUGUGGGUCCAAGAGGAGACAAAUGGCCCUUAUGUCCCAGCCUACUGUCUCCUGAAGGCCACAGAUCCCCAGUACAUUCUGCCACCUACUGGGCAUGUCCACCAGGGAAUCCUGUUGCCAGACACGGUGGCCUAGGUGACAACCAGGGCUACGCCAAAGAACGGCCUCAGAAAAGGAUAAGAAGAAGGAUGGUAGAAGCUAGUAUGGAACCUUCAAAGACUUACCACAGAAGUUCAUCUAACCACCCACGGUGGGAGGUCAUUAUGGCGCCUUGGAAAGUCACACUAGAGCCUGCUUCCUCCACCCUCAGCUCCACCCUGGGCUCGGAGAUCAUGCCUGGUGUCAGGAAGAGCACUUUCCAGAACAUCCGAAACUUCUGGGGUGGGCAUGGUGGUGUUGACACCAGUGUCAUCUUUCUGUCAGGAUGGCUGAGAUUCUAAGAACUCUCUACUAAUACCAGCCUGCCUCUCACCACUGGGCUGGUGCUUCAAUAACUUCCCUGUCCCUUGGGUCACUGUGACCAGCCCCCUGGCUUCUUUAACCACCAUCUGUGUUCCCCACCUAACAGUGGGACAUCCAAAUCCACCAAGAGAGCCACAUGUGUGAAACUAGCACAGGUCCUAGCUGUGAGCUGAGCCCACUUCUUAAUUCAAUUGCUUUUUUAGAAUUGUUUUUCUUCUUUAAAAAAUACAUUAAAGCAUAAAGGAGAAGAAAAUACCCUCCUACCUUCCUUUCUUGGCUCAUGUUUCCUAACUAUACUUCU